rnacentral:rRNA from 1 species
UACGGGGGGUGCGAGCGUUGUCCGGAAUCACUGGGCGUAAAGGGCGCGUAGGUGGCCUGAUAAGGGUGUGGUGAAAGUCCGGGGCUCAACCCCGGAUCGGCCGUGCCGACUGUUAGGCUAGAGUACUGUAGGGGCAGGCGGAAUUCCGGGUGUAGCGGUGGAAUGCGUAGAGAUCCGGAGGAAGACCGGUGGCGAAGGCGGCCUGCUGGCAGUUACUGACACUGAGGCGCGACAGCGUGGGAGCAACAGG